ensembl:lncRNA
AGUACCUACAUAUUUUGUCUGAUUAACAAUGCAGUUUCAGUUCAAGAUUCAAUAGCUUUAUUGUCAGUACAACAGUAUACAGUGUGCCGAAAUUCUGUUUCACCCCAAGCCCCAAAUGGUGCAUUUACAAGUAUAUAAAAGAUAUAUCUCCAAGAGAUAUAAAACUAGAAAUAAAUAAUGUGCUAAAUGUCUGUAAAAUUAAAGGAAAAACAGGUACUAAUUACUAACUAUACAAUACUAUAAUGAUAACUAUACAAUACUAACUGUGCGAUAAACAAAGACAGGACAGAGACAAUACAAAGUGGAUUGUGCAGUGGUAUUGAAUACCAGGUUUAAGUUAUUGUCAGGAUAUUAUAGACGAGACAUGACAAAGACAUGUGCUAGAUGCAAAAUGUGCAAAUGUACUGUAGUUUAGAUAUGUUGCAUUAUAACAUCCAUGUACUAUGUUAGAUCUGGUAUUAUAAUUUUAUUCCCAGACACCAUGAGAGGUUUAAAGAGAAAAACAAAAACAAAAAACAAAACAAAAAAACUUUUCUUCACUCUUAAGAGCAUUUCAUAACUUUUUAAAGUCUGAAAACUGUGCCCCAACAAUUCUCCUGGUUCACAUUAAUGCUCAGAGUUUAAGAACUAAAGUCACACUUUCCAACUUUCUAUUACAGCCACAGUGAAAGGGUGCAGUAGCUUAGAGUUGAACUCCUGUCAUAUCAUUAUAAUACGACCUUGUUUAAAUCUUCAGCUACUACAGGUUCACUCUGUAUUUCACUUGUCAAUUACAGCUAGUUUUUUUUUUCUUUUCAUUUUUUCUUCUUUUUUUAUAAGCACAUCCUUCAUAAUGUGAUAAAAUACAGAUUCACAGGCAGGGCUAGUAGCUCACUGUAGAAAUCCUCUGAUGAUAACUGACAUUUAUGACUGGGGUUCAUGCAAUAAAUGCUUGUCAGCUCACAUCCUUCUCUUUAUUUUUUGCCUGAUGGGUCAAACUCACCUUCACUACAACUAUAAGGACAAUAAAAGUCUCAGAAAAUAGGAAGGGAGGGGCAAACCUUUAGCUGGGGUCAUGCUGAUGCAUGUAUUUAUAGCUCUGUAUUCAUAAAAUUAGGUGAAGAUGAACUGUAUUCGCUGAAGCAACAACUCUUAAAGCAGCAGAUAUGAUGACAACAACUAGCUUUUCAUUUAAAAGCUCAGAAAAUACACCAUAUACACAUAUCAG